rnacentral:rRNA from 1 species
GACGAACGCUGGCGGCGUGCUUAACACAUGCAAGUCGAACGGAAAGGCCCUGCUUUUGUGGGGUGCUCGAGUGGCGAACGGGUGAGUAACACGUGAGUAACCUGCCCUUGACUUUGGGAUAACUUCAGGAAACUGGGGCUAAUACCGGAUAGGAGCUCCUGCUGCAUGGUGGGGGUUGGAAAGUUUCGGCAGUUGGGGAUGGACUCGCGGCUUAUCAGCUUGUUGGUGGGGUAGUGGCUUACCAAGGCUUUGACGGGUAGCCGGCCUGAGAGGGUGACCGGCCACAUUGGGACUGAGAUACGGCCCAGACUCCUACGGGAGGCUGCAGUGGGGAAUAUUGCACAAUGGGCGGAAGCCUGAUGCAGCAACGCCGCGUGCGGGAUGACGGCCUUCGGGUUGUAAACCGCUUUCGCCUGUGACGAAGCGUGAGUGGCGGUAAUGGGUAAAGAAGCACCGGCUAACUACGUG